CCCUGAGCCUCCUUUUCUCCGGGUUGAGCCCCCCAGGUUCCUCGGGAGACCCUUCCCUGGUGCUUCAGCCCCUUCCCCAGCUCCAUUCCCGGCUCUGGACUCACUCCAGCCCCUCGGGGUCUUUCUUGCUGUGAGUGGCCCCAGUCUGAGCCCAGAAUUCAGAUGUGGCCCUGGCCCAGCACAGGGUGCAGGAUUCAUCCUGGCCAUCCUCCGACCUCGGGCUGGAGGAUUUGGGACUCCCAGCUGGGGCAGGAGCUGCCUCCACCUGAGACACCCCGGCAGGGCCUGAUGUGGCCCCUUUGGGCUGGUUUUGAGACUAAAACUGGUCCUAAACAGCAACGGCCCAAGCUGAAAGAGCCCAGUGCUGGAUUUGCUGCUGGAUCUUGCUCCCGCUGAUCCUGGUCCUGCAGGAUGGCUCAUCCAUGGAUGCUCUGGGGUGGCUGUCCCUGCCCUGGGAAGGCUCUGGUUAACGACACCCAGACGUUGUUUUGCUGCAAAGCCUGGGGGAUUGGAGUGCUGCUGGCACGGAGGGGAGUUCUCAGGUACACUGGUGUUUCCAUGGAAAGAAAGGAGCGUUUGGGGGUUGGAUGGCACAGGAGGACUGAGCAGACUCCAGCACAGCUCUGGUUGCUGCGGGGAUGCUGCUGCAGAGGGAGAGCCAAGCUCUGUAGUUGAGCUCAAAAUCCAAACACAACGUGGCAAAAAUCCAGGACAAAGCAGUGGAGAUGCAAGCCCUGAUGUCAGCCGUGGGAUAAGGUUGUGUUUGCACACCCAACAUGCUUUUAUCCACCGAUUAACUGUUCCUACAGGGCUCCUUUGCGAAACACAUGAGCGUUUUCUGUUCCAAGAGAUAAGAAAACAAGCUUGGUUUUAUAUCCUUUCCCUGUGAGGGUGAUAACAGCUUUCAGAAUUCCUGUGGACUCUGAUCUCCAAAUGGGGGGCUCCUGGAGCCCUCAGAGGAGCCGCCGUUGGACUUUGUUUGGAAGGUGAUUAAGAACAAACAGAUCCUGGAAAGCCGAGGCAAAACCUUGAGCAAGAGGAAACUUGGCAGAGGGAAGAGCCGCGAUGGCGCCGGUGCUGGAGUCCCCACACGGCAGCGAGGGAUCCUCCAUUGCCAUGGAGUGCUGAGGCUGAGCUUGGGGAAGGCUGGAUGGAAACAAGAUGGGGUCUCCCCUCAGGUGGAGCUGUUUUGGGGAGGGUUUUCCUGGUCACCCCGCCUUUCCCCAUGGACAAUCCCAGCAGAGGGCAGCAGGAGAUGCCCUGGGCACCCUUGGCUUUCCCAGGGCUGCUGCUCCAGACUACCCACCUACACCUGUCCCCUCCUGGUCCUCACCUUGGGACAUCUGCUAAGAACUCCCAACUGUUCUGGCCUGAAAGACAUGUUUUUGGGGCUGAAGGAGUUGGAACUUAUUAGGGUUGAGUUAGAACUUAUUACAAGCUAAGUUGGGAUUCAUUAAAGUUGUUGGGAUUCAUUAAA